rnacentral:tRNA from 1 species
ACACCGGUAGUACAGUGGUUAGUGCAGUCUGCCGGAAACAGAAGGACGCUGGUUCAAUUCCCGUCUCAUGUC